GGGCCAGGCUCUGCGGGCUGGGCUGGGCUGGGCUGGGCUGGCAUGGGCUCUGCUCGGCUGGGCUGGGCUGGGCUGGGCUGGGCUGGGCUGGGCUGGGCUGGCAUGGGCUCUGCUCGGC
rnacentral:miRNA from 1 species